rnacentral:rRNA from 1 species
GACGAACGCUGGCGGCGUGCUUAACACAUGCAAGUCGAACGGAAAGGCCUGCUUUCCCUUGUGGAUUGCGGGUACUCGAGUGGCGAACGGGUGAGUAACACGUGAGUGAUCUGCCCCCAACUUGGGUAUAAGCCUGGGAAACUGGGUCUAAUUCCCGAUAGGACUGCAGGGUGGUGCCUGUGGUGGAAAACGAUUUUCUAGUGGUUGGUGAUGAGCUCGCGGCCUAUCAGCUUGUUGGUGGGGUAAUGGCCUACCAAGGCGGCGACGGGUAGCCGGCCGGAGAGGGUGGACGGCCACAUUGGGACUGAGAUACGGCCCAGACUACUACGGGAGGCAGCAGUGGGGAAUAUUGCACAAUGGGCGGAAGCCUGAUGCAGCGACGCCGCGUGGGGGAUGACGGCCCUCGGGUUGUAAACUCCUUUCGACCGAGAGGAAGCCACCUGGUUGGAAGGGUGGUGACGGUAGUGGUAGAAGAAGCACCGGCUAACUACGUG